UCUUUGGUGGCUCAGACAGUAAAGAAUCUGCCUGCAAUGCAGGAGACCCAGGUUCAAUCCCUGGGUCAGGAA
rnacentral:tRNA from 1 species